GGUGAGCCUCAGUUGAGGACGCGCGGGGUCCGGAGACGGGGGGCGGGGUCUGCCCGAACCCCCGCCCCCAACCAACUCCGCCCCCCACCUUCCAGGACAACAGGUGUCUGAGAACCGGGCUUGGAGGGGGGGCGCAUGCUCCGCGGGGGAGGGGUGGAGAGACCCCGGGCUGUCACCGCCUCCUAGCGCGCGGCCCCAAGGGCCCAGGCCUCGCUGUCAGCGCGCCCCGCCCCCCCGCCUCCGGCUCCGCCCCCCUGCUCCGGCCCCAACUCCAGCAGAAGCCAGAGUCGGAGCCCGGACCCCAAGCAGGCAGCGGCGGCGGCACGCGGGACUGGGCACCGAUGGAAACCUCCUCCCUCCGGGGCUCGGUUCAGCUCCUCUGGGAGGGCCUCCUCCGGAUUCGGAUUCAGGAUUGAGCUGGUGACAGUCAGAAGAAUCUCUCUCUGGAGAAGGAUGGCUGGCUGAACUGGUGUCUAUAUUCUUGUUUGGACAAAUCUUGUGGUGAGUAAUCUUUCUCUUAGGACUUAUGCCUGGGUUGGCCAGGGCUGCCCUGGGCCGGCCUAUCCUUUUCUCAUUAUUCCUUUUUUUCUCUCUUUCUCUCUUUCAUUAAUUCCUCAUUGUAUGAAUUAAAAUCUCUAUAAAACUCAGUUGACUUGGGUAUAUUUCAUAAUUGCGAAUAUUUCCCUGGCAACCACCUUAUAUAUUUGAUUUUAAAACAAGACACUGUCUUGAAACCAUAUUUUCUGUGGUCACAAUUUACUCAUCCACUCUUAUAUCUACUACAAUUUAAGUCUUCCACUAUUUUAAUUAUCACAAGGAAGAGUGACAGGAUGAAGUGUUGAUGGAUCUGCUCACUUCAACGGGGGAAGAGCCCCAGUGUGAAUCUUAAAAACAACUCAGACUGUACUUUAGAAAGAUUUUAUUUAGCUAGUUCCCUAGUGUAACAAUGGAGAUACUUGGUCUAACAAGAAUCAGGAAUGUCUUGGGAACUUUACAUUACUCCACCCAUACUUAGACCUACUUUAGGAGGAGAUAAAGUUGUAAACUCCUGAUUGAACAGUGAAGGCACUUAACUCAUACCUUAUAGUGAAGCUAGAAACUUAAGCUAAGUCUAUUUUUAGAUCUAAUACAAAAAGGUGUUAAGUACCUAUAAAGGUUAAAUUAAUCACAAAAGAUCAAGUACCUCACAAAAGGCAAGCUUAUCAAAGAAGUGUGAAGUAUUCAAAAGAUAUAAUCUAACCAGAGAAGGUGAGAACUAAAGAGUGGUGAGAACUAAGAAUGGGCAGUCCUGGAAAAAAGCAUCUACUGUUAUUGAUAGAUGUAAAAAUUUUGGGGAGGUGACAUAAGAGGAAACUUGUCUUUAAAAGGACGCUAAAAGUCAGUUCAGGUUUAUUCUGAACUCAGUUCAGGAGAUUGAGUUCAGUGGAGGACUGGAACCCAGCUCAGAGACGGUCUUGUGGUGAGUGAUAAGACUGACUCCCUUACCCUUAGGCCAAGGCGUUUAACUACUGCCUGGCUCAGCUUGAGCCAGAACAGUUUAAAUUAAUUCCCUCUCUCUCUCUCUCUCUCUCUCUCUCUCUCUCUCUCUCUCUCUCUCUCUCUCUCUCUCUCUCUCUCUCUCUCUCUCUCUCUCUCUCUCUCUCUCUCUCUCCUUUCCUUAAUUCUUUCUCUCUAUAUUAAUUAAAAUCUCCAUAAUUCCCAGCUGACUUGGGUAUUUUAUUAUUUGGAAAUCAUCCCUGGUGACCAAUUAUUUAGAUUUAAAUCAAAACACUAAAAAUAUCCUUUACAGAAAUAAUAAAUGCAACCUUUUCAGAUCA
ensembl:lncRNA